CCAUAGGAGUUGUGCCUUUAGGAGUUUUAAGAAGUUAUUUAGGAGUUUUAAGAAGUUAUUUAAGAAGUGACCUCCAGGUCACAAAGAUAUUCUUCUAUGUUGUUUUCUAAUAACUCACAGAGAGGACAGGAGCAUGAGGCUCAGGUUCCUCCCAACAGAAGCCCCACGCUUUAGGAAUUGCAGAUGGACAUGGAGGAUAAAGAGUUUUGUUUUUUCUCCUUCAGAGGACCUCAUAAGCCAAGGGGAAGGCAACUAGGCAGAGAGGGCUUUAAUUAAAUUUUCUAUUUUUUAAUUUUUCUGAACUUCAGGGGUGCUCAUACUUCGCAUGAUGGAGGGAAUAGUUAAUGAGUGCAGGUUUCCCCCAGGAGGGCUGCCACCACAACGGCUUGAGAUGAGGCGGCCAGCAGCCCCCAUCUCUACUCCAGUCUGAUAAGCUGUGGUGUCAGGCACAGAGGCACCUGUGAAGUUGGAAGACAGUGGAAAGGAAGAAGGUGACAGCCUGUGCUGUCAUGAUAAUGUCAUGGUAUGGAGGGCCCUGGCCUCCGUCGUAGGGGGCCCAUGUGAAGGGUUGGCCUCCAUGGCCUGUGAGCAGGAGCCUGGCUCAGGGAACCUGGGGCCUCUAUUCUUGGCUGGGCUUUGCUUCCUGGGGCCAUCCCUUGAACACAUCACUCCUACAUGAUGAUGAAUUCUAGAAAAUUAAAGCAGGGCAGGGGGAGUUUGAAUGUCACCCUUUUUCUUACUGAUGAGGAAACAGACCCAGAAUGAGGAAGCAGCUUACGGAAAAUUGCAUGGUUUGUGGGCUGGAGACCCAGGGCCAGGGCUCCAGCUGCUUCACCUGGAAAAAUCCUGGACUUUGGAGACAGACAGUCCUGGGUUUGAACCUAGCUCUAAGAGCCAUUUAUUAAAUAAUUUCACAAAUAAAGGUGAUGUUUGCCACCAUGGUCAGUGCUUUAAGUGAAUCUACUCAGAGCUGUGAAAUCUUGGGGGAAUUUGACCCAGUCACAGUUGAGAGAAGGUUCUGGAAGGAUAUGGGCUAAGGUCUACAGAUGAAUAAAAGUUAAGCUGGUAGAGAGGGAAGAGCUUGUAGGAUGGACAGAGGGAUGGUUGGAUGAGUGACAUGAGCCUGAGUUUAAGAGGUUGACUAUUUCUUCACCCUGUCCUCUCUCUUAGCCUGUGAAGGCUUGCUGGUAAAUUGCUAAAUCUGGCAGAGAAUGAGGAAAGGAAGAUCUCUUUCCCUGGCUAUCAAUUGUUUGAGUGUUUCACUUAAAGUUGAGCACCUGUUCUAUUGAAGUGCCCACCUCUGUUCCUCUCCAUUUCUUUGAACCCUAUCACUGGUCCUUGGGAAGGGUAAAUGCAAAAGAAAAAAAAAGUGAAAGCAGUGUUAAUCAUGCUGAAAUGUAAUGCGCCCCUCUGAACCUUGGAAGAUGAGAAAUUAUACAUGCUGAUUUCAUCCGCUACUUAACUCAGGGGGUGACAGGCUGCAAUUGAAGAGGCUUUGGCAGGUUAAGUGCUGCAAACCCUUGCCCAGGCUCUUAAGCAUCUCUCGGAAACCUCUGAGACUCGUUGGUAAUUUGGUGGUGUCAUUUGGAGUGACUCCUGGCCCUGCCAGCUGCAGGGACAGUUCCCAGUUAAAAAAAAAAUGAUUUCAUUCUCAGCUAGGAUGUGGUCUGUUCUUUUUUUGUCUGGGGACCGGAGACUGUUAAGGGAAAAGAGAGUGGGGAGGAGAUUCUGCAAAGAAAUAAAAGCAGACAAGAAUGGGCUUGUGUACAUUGCAACCACCAAAGCCCCCUCAACAAAGCUUCAUCAUUACUGGAAUCAGGAAAGAAAAGGGAGAAAACUAACAUUUAUUUGACAUUUACUGUGUACCAAGUACCUGUCAUUCCUGAACGUAUUGACUCCACACAUCUCCGCGAGACAGCUGUUGUUAUGUGGAGAAAUUAGGCUAAUUAAUUUGCCCACUACGAUGAUGACAACAAUGAUGACGAUGGUGAUAAAAGCUUAUAUUUAUAUGGCAGAGACUAUUAUAAACUCCUUAUCUGCAUUAUUCACUCCUCACAAUAACCCUGUGGGCCUUUUGUUGGGGGCAGAGUGAAAGAAGAGAAGAGGGUCUCUGGCCUGGGACAGAUUUUUCUUGUUGGUAAAAUUAAGAUAACACCUUCCCACCCAAUUCCCUCCAGCAGCAUACUGAGGUCUGAGAAGUAGAUUCUCUUACUAGAAUAUGGUAGACAUCAAAAAAAGGAAAUCUCUCAUAUUAUAAUAUUCAUUAUGGAUAUAUAGUGUGGAAACGAUUGCUGAGAGCAAGCACCAGAUCAAAGACAAAGGACCAAAAAAUGGCAUUAUUCUAUUAGAUAUAAAAAUGAAUAGGAAUCAUUCUGCAGAUUUUUUUUUUUACCCAAUACAAUAACACUUCCAUCAUUUAGGACUAAUAAUAGUGAUGAUGAUGAUGAUAAUGACCUUGACUCAUUUGUGAACACCAUUUUUUACAAAGCCCUUUCGUUAUCUAUUAUCUUUCUUGAUCCUCUGAAUGACCCCACUAGAUAGAUAUUACAGGGCUAAUUAUUUCCAUGUGAUAAAGGAGAAACUGUAAGCCCAGAGGGCUUCUGUGGCUUAACCAGGGUCAAAUGGAGAAUAGAGUCAAGCUAGAAGCCUGAACAAUUCCAGAAGUGGUCUUUCUCCUAAACUGUGCUGUAACCUAGCCCCACGCUGUAGUAGUAGUGGUGAUGACUCUACACCAGGCACUGGGACAAACAUUUCACAUGAAUGUGCUUGUUUGAUCCUUACAGCCAGCCAGGAGGCAGAUUCAAUUAGUAUCCCUUCUUAGUAGAUGAGGAACUUGAGGGAGGAGAAGGUUGUCACUUGCCUAAGGCUACCCAACUAGUUGGGGGGACUUGAUCCAGGGCUCCCCUCUUGACCACUACCCCACACUCUUGCAGAAGAGGUUUAAAUAUAGAAGGGAGAGAAGUUCUAGGUCCUCUCCUUGGAUUCACGUCCA
rnacentral:lncRNA from 1 species